GCCUUGGAUUCUGGGGGAGUUUCUUAAAAAAAGAGGUGAAAGCCUCUAAAUGCGGCUCUGUGACAAAAAGGCGAGCCCUGAGGCGCUGCCCCCAUCCCUGGCUUUGGAUGCACUUCCUUUUCCCUCGCGUUCUCCUCCUUUUCCUGCUGUCCCUGUGUCCUUCCUCCCGAGGGGAGGCUGUGAGUAACCGAGAGUCAGCGUGACAAGGGCACUGAACCCCUGCGACAGAGCAGGGACAAUCCCAGGGCAGUUCCCUACGCCUCUGCAGAGAUCGCGCUGCUGGAAUUUGCCGUUGAUCUGAAUUUACAAAACAAUUUGAUCUGGAUAAAAAAAAAACAAAAGCUCAGAUGCUGAACAGGUCCAGGUCAAGGUUGGGGGAUGUUUGCAAAUGUGCACAAGCACAAGGUUUUGUGCUUCCACAACCUUUAGGAAAAGUGUUUCUUUUAAGCUGUGAGAGUUUUGGACUUGAAAACUGCAAGUGCAUCCUCCAAGAGCCGAGGUUGCUGUUUGGUGAGGGUGGAAUGAAGCUCUGCAGUGUGCCAGAGCUGAACCAAAGGAGCUGAAGUGAAAUGCCUGACCUGAAGGGAUGCAGCCACUGCUGCAGGACCAGGCCAUUCUGGGAAGCUCCUCAUGUGCUUUGCACCACACUUGUGUCACAGCUGACUUGGAGCCUUUGGAACUGGAAAUGAGCCCUGGUUCAGGCAGUGGCUCUAAAAAGCAUUCUGAGUGUCAGGCAUUCCCAGGCAGAAAAAAAAAAACCCUUGUGAACCCAGUGAAACAGAGAAACACAGAAACUCCCAAGCAUGUGAGCAUUCACAGGAUCCUCUUUUAUUGCACUUCCCCAAAUGUUGUUUUGCAAGGAAAUUGGAAUAAAUCUGCUAUGAUCUAAUCGCAGGAAAGUGAAAGGACAUGGAUUAUAAACAGGGAGUCAAUCACUGCAGAUGAUCACCGUGACUCUGACGUUGGACAGAGACACUGAACGUUUGGCAAACUUCUUUUGGAUCAUUUCCUUUUCGUUCUGGAGCUGCUGUGGAACAGAGAAACCAUUCCACACAAACAAAUCCCUUCCAUACCCGGUGAGAUCCCAACACCCAGAGCCAGGAAUAAACAAGGGCAGUAAAUAAUCCCUGUGAAUUACCUGAAAUCACCGUGCUGCCUUGAGAAACUCUACCAAAUGCAUGUGGGAUCAUGCUCGGGCCUGUUGAAAAACAAACAGUGAUUAAAGCAGCCCUUUGGAGCUGAGCUGCUGAGGGCAAUAU